GCAAGGAGUAUCUUCUAAGAAGAAACACUUCAACAACAUCGAUUCCAUCUCAACUAGACUUCACAGACUCACAUCAGGAACAUGACCACAACUAUCCAGAAGAGGG